rnacentral:rRNA from 1 species
CACGUAGGCACCAAGCGUUGUCCGGAUUUAUUGGGCGUAAAGAGCUCGUAGGCGGUUCGGUAAGUCGGGUGUGAAAAUUUUGGGCUCAACCCAAAGCGUGCACUCGAUACUGCCGUGACUGGAGUCCGGUAGAGGAGCGUAGAAUUCCUGGUGUAGCGGUGAAAAUGCGCAGAUAUCAGGAGGAAUACCAGCGGCGAAGGCGGCGCUCUGGGCCGGUACUGCGUGAGGAG